ACCCAUCCGGUGAUGUACGCUCAUCUCCCCAUUUAUCCCAAAAUCUGGAUUGCACUUGCAUCUGUACGUACAUACAUAUGAAUAAGCACCAUUGUUCGCUUUAGUCUGGAUGCUUCAGUCUAUAAGCUAUCUGGAUGGCACCUGCAUCUGUUCAUGCAUAAAAUAAGCACCAUACUUCGGCCUAAUUUCUAUGUGUAAAUUUUGUUUAACUUUGACUGAAAAUAUAUACAAGUAAAUAUACAUGAUUGUUUCAUUUAAGCAUGCACAGAUUCUGUUCUGAUUACCUCCACUUUUUUUCACAACAAGCCAGCAAAGCAAAGAUUCAGUGAUGCUUGUUAUGGCCUUUGAAAAUUGUAAUUGUACCUAGUCUUGUAGGUUAAUUAUCUGAAAACACGAAAUUUUAGGGUGGUUCAUAGCUGUUGUUCAGGUCACUUCUUUAUAGGUUAACACUUGUUUCAUCCAUGCAUAUUUGUGCAGGAAGUAUUAUGUAGAACAGAGGAGAAGGGGCACAUGAUAUCAUCCCAGCUUGUUGGCUAACAUGCUCAUUUCAUUAGCUUUGCAAAGAUGUGAGUUAAGUAGCUUUAUACUAUAUAAAGUGUGCUGACCGGAGAUAGUUCUCUUCUCUGGUAGAAAGACAUGGAUGUGUUGCUGUAACACACAGCAAGACGUUGAGUAAACUUUUGCUUUCCUUUCAUUGGACUACAAAUUGACUAUUGUUAAGGUUCUAAUAAGUUUAGACAUACUUGUUAAUUCUGACCAUGCCUUUCUUAAGGACUGUAUUCAUGAAAUUUGUUUGUUGCAUAUGUUCGUACAUGUUCCUAUCUAAUUUAAUGAUGUGUGAAACUUCUGCCAAUCGACAUAGCACAACAAACUUUAGAAGUAGCUUUCUUCCAUCUGCAAAAGCUGAGAUGGAGAAGGAGAGACACACAAGUUUACAAUUGAAUAAGCUGCUUCCUGAGUGAGAGGUAGAUGCACCAGAUUUACCAAUGAAUAAACUGCUCCAUUAGGCACUAUUUUUCUUUUCUUUCCAAGUGACUGCUGCUCUUCUCUAGUGUAGUUCUCCAGGGCUCACCAAUUUUGUUAGACUGAACCUGAUUUGUAUAUUUGUAUGCAGAUUUCUCAACACUCAGAUUUAUGGAGUCUAAGGUUUGACAUUUAGGGGACUAUGGAUCUUUGGCUUUUGGUGUUGAGAUUGAUGUGCCCCUCGCUAUAUGUAAGUGGUGCUUAUGAUGUCGAUCCUUCUGCUAUGGAUUGUAGUUGGGCUUCACUGCCAUCGCAUUAAUACUAUUGAUGGCAGUGUCCCUGCUGUUGAGAAACCCAUUACGUCAGUUUUGGUGGUAUUUUUGCAUUGCCACUUAUCAAUUGUUUUAUUAUUGUUCUUGUCAAAUAGUUGUAUGCUUGAUAAUUGUUGAUGAUAUCUUAUGGUUGGAAAAGAAAUGUAUUUUUGGGCAAAAUGUCCACAUUCUUACAUAGGUCCAUUGUGGUCCCCUUCGUAGCCUGUUGGUUCUAUUUUUAUCAUAUAUCUUUUUUGUUCUAAGUGUUAAUUGUUGAGUGUCAACGACAUGUGGAUAUUGUUCUUCAG
rnacentral:lncRNA from 1 species